AAACGCUUGAAGUCAGUCGCAUUGGCUGGGGAUCAACCUUACUUGUGAGGUGUACUCUCUAGCCAAUGGGUCAGCAUCAAUUUUGACUGCUGGAAAAAGGUCUGGGGAAUGUGGCAUCUCCGGAUGUGUUAUAGCCU
rnacentral:rRNA from 1 species